UGGUACCGCUUGCAGAUUGCCACCGACGAGGAAGUGUCCCGGUGUCAAUGGUUCCAAGUCCGACGGCUCAUCGGAUAGAGGUGUAAUUGGUCGCGAAUUCAAACAUUGCUCUACCUGGGCAAGUAGGCUGCCUUCACCGCCGCCUCCCAUAAACCUCCAAAAUGUGGUGCUCUUGGUGGGAUAAACUUCCACUUCAUAUGAUUCAUCGCGCACCAAUCAAAUAUAGCAGCUCGAUCGUGUUCGUCGCUCUUUAGCAUCUUGUAGACGCGAUUCAGCUCAUGUGCCGCUCCCUUAAAGGUGGUUGCAUUGUCGGAAUGCAGUUCACUGAUUUGACCACGACGUGCAAUCAAACGACGAAGUGCAUUGAUAAAUGCUGUUGAUGUUAAAUCGCCAACCAGUUCGAUAUGUACCGCUCUUGUUGAAAAACAUACAAA